CACCGCGGUUAUACGAGAGGCCCAAGUUGAAAGACACCGGCGUAAAGCGUGGUUAAAUUAAAAUUUAAACUAAAGUUAAACAUCUUCAAGACUGUUAUACGUAUCUGAAGCCGGGAACCUCAAUCACGAAAGUAACUUUAUAUAAACUGAACCCACGAAAGCUAUAACA
rnacentral:rRNA from 1 species